CUGAACCAGCCAAGUAGCGUGAAGGAUGACUGCCCUAUGGGUUGUAAACUUCUUUUAUACGGGAAUAAAGUUAGCCACGUGUGGUUUUUUGUAUGUACCGUAUGAAUAAGGAUCGGCUAACUCCGUGCCAGCAGCCGCGGUAAUACGGAGGAUCCGAGCGUUAUCCGGAUUUAUUGGGUUUAAAGGGAGCGUAGGCGGGUUGUUAAGUCAGUUGUGAAAGUUUGCGG
rnacentral:rRNA from 1 species